rnacentral:sRNA from 1 species
AGUGAAUAACUAAAAAUUCACACACAUUUCGACACUAUGUCCGGGGUGUCGCUUUAAACAGCGAUCGGGGAUAGGGGAAUGUGGAGGCAUAAC